rnacentral:lncRNA from 1 species
UGAUUUGUUGCUAAAAUAUUGGUAUUAAAUUCGAAACUCCCGACAGAUGGCUAGUGGCCCAAAGAAACGAAAGAAUUGGUUACAUUUUUCAUAGGAUCUCCUCUUAUAUAUAGACUCAAAAAUUAAUCAGAGUUCUUUUUGUAUCACUUUGCCUAUUUAUUCUUUUUUUUAUCGAGUCAAAAAAUAUUCGAAUUAUAAAGUAUGAACUACCCCUUGCUGUUGCAACACCUUUUGAAAAAAAAAAAAAAAAAGGUUUCCCUUGGACUACAAACGGGAAAGGAUGAAAGCGAGUCGGUAUGCUAAUUCCUCAUCUACAGAUUAGCCCUUCCUAUAGGGUAUUUUCUCAAUGAAUAAGUAAUUGUGGGAGUUAAAUCUUGAUAUAAUUUGAAAAAACAAACAAGAGGUCCAAGAUAAUAAAAUAUGAAAAAAUGUAUUUUUCAUAUUUAUAAGAUUAAACAAAACGAUUUGCAAAUAAGAGAGUUCAUGCUACAACCAAUAUCAAAUUUUUGUUAAUGGUA